GGUGAGAUGGCCGAGCGGUCUAAGGCGCUACGUUAAGGUCUCCAAAAACCUUAAAACUCUCAGUUUCCGUAGUCCGAAAGGGCGUGGGUUCGAAUCCCACUCUCAUCA